rnacentral:rRNA from 1 species
CGUAGGCGGUUUCGUAAGUCCCGUGUGAAAGCCCCCGGCUCAACCGGGGAACUGCACGGGAAACUGCGAGGCUUGAGUUCGGGAGAGGGAAGCGGAAUUCCGGGUGUAGCGGUGAAAUGCGUAGAUAUCCGGAGGAACACCAGUGGCGAAGGCGGCUUCCUGGACCGAUACUGACGCUGAGGCGCGAAAGCUAGGGGAGCAAACG